rnacentral:rRNA from 1 species
UACGUAGGGCGCAAGCGUUGUCCGGAAUUAUUGGGCGUAAAGAGCUCGUAGGCGGUUUGUUGCGUCGGCUGUGAAAUCCCGAGGCUCAACCUCGGGCCUGCAGUCGAUACGAGCAAACUAGAGUGUUGCAGGGGAGACUGGAAUUCCUGGUGUAGCGGUGAAAUGCGCAGAUAUCAGGAGGAACACCGGUGGCGAAGGCGGGUCUCUGGGCCGAUACUGACGC